CCUACGGGUGGCUGCAGUGAGGAAUAUUGGUCAAUGGGCGGGAGCCUGAACCAGCCAAGUCGCGUGAGGGAAGACGGUCCUACGGAUUGUAAACCUCUUUUGCCGGGGAGCAACGGGGUCCUUGCGAGGGCCCGAUGAGAGUACCCGGAGAAAAAGCAUCGGCUAACUCCGUGCCAGCAGCCGCGGUAAUACGGAGGAUGCGAGCGUUAUCCGGAUUUAUUGGGGUUAAAGGGUGCGUAGGCGGGUUAUCAAGUCAGCGGUAAAAUCGUGGAGCUCAACUCCAUCCAGCCGUUGAAACUGAUGAUCUUGAGUGGGCGAGAAGUAUGCGGAAUGCGUGGUGUAGCGGUGAAAUGCAUAGAUAUCACGCAGAACUCCGAUUGCGAAGGCAGCAUACCGGCGCCCGACUGACGCUGAAGCACGAAAGCGUGGGUAUCGAACAGGAUUAGAUACCCCUGUAGUC
rnacentral:rRNA from 1 species